UUGCUGUUUUGAGAUUAAAGAAGUAGCAUUUGGGAAUUAGCACCAAUCACUGGAAUUUCCAACUCUAGAUUCCUGGAAUGAUGUUUUUUCUUGCCAUUUGUUUUUCUUUACUUGCUGCUUAGCCUCUAGAUUUAUGCCAAUAGAUUAGCAUGCAUUGCCCACAUUGAUGUUGAAAUGCAGUUGUUUUCUAAACACGAAAUAUUAGAUAGCUACAUAAGAUCUAAGAGUUAUGGUUGAUAGAGGAUACCAACUGGAUUAUAGGGGAGUGGGGAGGCAAUAGGUGUACAGCUCUCAUGCUCUGUCUUCGUUUUCAAUUUUGGGUUCCUCACCAAAAUGGUA
rnacentral:lncRNA from 1 species